rnacentral:rRNA from 1 species
CCCCUAGAUGUUCUGGGCCGCACGCGCGCUACACUGAACAGUUCAACAAGUCUUAACCUUGGCCGAUAGGUCUGGGUAAUCUUUGAACGCUGUUCGUGAUUGGGAUAGACCUUUGCAAUUAUGGGUCUUCAACGAGGAAUUCCUAGUAAACGCAAGUCAUCAGCUUGCAUUGAUUACGUCCCUGCCCUUUGUACACACCGCCCGUCGCACCUACCGAUUGAAUGGUCCGGUGAAAUCUCGCGACGGCGGCUUGGUCGCUUGCGUCCGACUGCUGAAACUUGAUUAAACCAUAUCAUUUAGAGGAAGGUGAANUCGUANCA